rnacentral:rRNA from 1 species
CCUACGGGGAGCAGCAGUGAGGAAUAUUGGUCAAUGGACGGAAGACUGAACCAGCCAAGCCGCGUGCAGGAAGAAGGCACAGAGAGUUGUAAACUGCUUUUGUAAGAGGGCAAACGCAGAGACGCGUACCCGGAUGAAAGUAACGGAAGAAAAAGGAUCGGCUAACUCCGUGCCAGCAGCCGCGGUAAUACGGAGGAUUCAAGCGUUAUCCGGAUUUAUUGGGGUUAAAGGGUGCGUCGGCGGUCGGAUAAGUGAGAGGUUCAAUCCCGGGGCUCAACCCCGGAAUUGCCGGUGAUACUGUUCGUCUCGAGUUUAGUUGCGGUCUGCGGAAUGUGUGGUGUAGCGGUGAAAUGCUUAGAUAUCAUGCAGAACUCCGAUUGCGAAGGCAGCUUACC